rnacentral:rRNA from 1 species
UACGUAGGGGGGCAAGCGUUUGUCCGGAAUCAUUGGGCGUAAAGCGCGUGUAGGCGGUCCGGUAAGUCCGCUGUGAAAGUCGGGGGCUUAACCCUCGGAUGCCGGUGGAUACUGUCGGGCUUGAGUACGGAAGAGGCGAGUGGAAUUCCUGGUGUAGCGGUGAAAUGCGCAGAUAUCAGGAAGAAACACCCGUGGCGAAGGCGGCUCUCUGGGACGGUACUGACGCUGAGACGCGAAAGCGUGGGGAGCGAACAGG